rnacentral:rRNA from 1 species
AGCGAACGCUGGCGGCAGGCCUAACACAUGCAAGUCGAACGAACCUUUCGGGGUUAGUGGCGGACGGGUGAGUAACACGUGGGAACGUGCCUUUAGGUUCGGAAUAACUCAGGGAAACUUGUGCUAAUACCGAAUGUGCCCUUCGGGGGAAAGAUUUAUCGCCUUUAGAACGGCCCGCGUCUGAUUAGCUAGUUGGUUGAGGUAAUGGCUCACCAAGGCGACGAUAAGUAGCUGGUCUGAGAGGAUGAUCAGCCACAUUGGGACUGAGACACGGCCCAAACUCCUACGGGAGGCAGCAGUGGGGAAUCUUGCGCAAUGGGCGAAAGCCUGACGCAGCCAUGCCGCGUGAAUGAUGAAGGUCUUAGGAUUGUAAAAUUCUUUCACCGGGGACGAUAAUGACGGUACCCGGAGAAGAAGCCCCGGCUAACUUCGUG